GAGUUUGAUCCUGGCUCAGAUUGAACGCUGGCGGCAGGCCUAACACAUGCAAGUCGAGCGGAUGACGGGAGCUUGCUCCUUGAUUCAGCGGCGGACGGGUGAGUAAUGCCUGGGAAUCUGCCUGGUAGUGGGGGACAACGUUUCGAAAGGAACGCUAAUACCGCAUACGUCCUACGGGAGAAAGCAGGGGACCUUCGGGCCUUGCGCUAUCAGAUGAGCCUAGGUCGGAUUAGCUAGUUGGUGGGGUAAUGGCUCACCAAGGCGACGAUCCGUAACUGGUCUGAGAGGAUGAUCAGUCACACUGGAACUGAGACACGGUCCAGACUCCUACGGGAGGCAGCAGUGGGGAAUAUUGGACAAUGGGCGAAAGCCUGAUCCAGCCAUGCCGCGUGUGUGAAGAAGGUCUUCGGAUUGUAAAGCACUUUAAGUUGGGAGGAAGGCAGUAAGUUAAUACCUUGCUGUUUUGACGUUACCGACAGAAUAAGCACCGGCUAACUCUGUGCCAGCAGCCG
rnacentral:rRNA from 1 species